UACGUAGGGGGCAAGCGUUGUCCGGAUUUACUGGGCGUAAAGAGCGCGUAGGCGGAAGCUUAAGUGUGGCCUGAAAGCCCCCGGCUCAACCGGGGAGGGUGGCUGCAAACUGGGUUUCUUGAGGGCGAUAGAGGAGAGUGGAAUUCCUGGUGUAGCGGUGAAAUGCGUAGAUAUCAGGAGGAACACCGGUGGCGAAGGCGGGUCUCUGGGCCGAUACUGACGCUGAGGAGCGAAAGCGUGGGGAGCGAACAGG
rnacentral:rRNA from 1 species